CGGAUCCCAGCGCCGCACCGAGACGGGAGGGAGGGGACGUCUCGGGUUAUUUAGAAGGAUAAAGGGAGAUGACCACACCAGCGGGCUCGGGCACUGGCUUCGGCUCUGUGUCCUGGUGGGGCCUGUCCCCGGCGGUUGACCUGCAGGCUGAGAGUCCUCCUGUGGACCCAGACUCACAGGCCGAUACAGAGCACGGGACCCCCGAGCUAAAUGUGCUGCUGUUGGGCUCCGUGGAUGGGCGACACCUGCUACGGACCCUGACCCGGGCGGCUCUCUGGCCUCGAAGGAGGUUCCGUUUUUAUGUGCUGGAGAAUAAUAUGGAAGCUGUAGCCCGACACAUGCUGAUUUUCAGCCUAGCCCUGGAGGAUCCUGAGAAGAUGGGGUUGCAAGAGAGGAGCGAGACCUUCCUGGAGGUGUGGGGGAACGCGCUGCUGCGCCCCUCUGUGGCCGCCUUCGUGCGCACCCAGGCCGGCCGCCUGGCUCGCCUCGUCCCGGAGCCCGAUCGCCUGGCGGAGCAGCUGCCCUGGCUCAGCCUGGGCGCCCUCAAGUUCCGCGAGCGCGACGCCCUGGAGGCCGUGUUUCGUUUCUGGGCCGGAGGGGAGAAGGGGCCCGAGGCUUUCCCCAUGAGCCGCCUGUGGGACUCGAGGCUGCGCCACUACCUGGGCUCCCGGUACGACGCCCGGCGCGGUGUCAGCGACUGGGACCUGCACAUGAAGCUGCACGAUCGCGGGGCCCGAGUCAUCCACACCAGUGAGUUCCGGCGCUGGAGGGACACAGGAGUCGCCUUUGAACUCAGAGACUCCAGCGCUUAUCACGUGCCCAACCGGACCCUGGCGUCCGGUCGCCUCCUGAGCCACCGCGGGGAGCGUGUAGCAGCGCGCGGGUACUGGGGGGACAUCGUCACGGGGCCCUUCGUGGCCUUCGGCAUCGAAGCGGACGACGAGACCCUCCUGAAGACCAGCAACGGUCAGCCUAUCAAGACCGCGGGCGAGAUCACGCAGCACAACGUGACGGAGCUGUUCCGAGAGAUGGCCGCCUGGGGGCGCCCGAGAGCCACCCAGGGAGACCCCGCGCAGGUGCAAGGCGACGCGGAUGGAAGCCCGGAGCCUGCAGCCCCUGUCCCGGAAUCCUUCACUGUCCACUUCCUGUCCCUCGGUUCUGCCCAGACCCUCCACCACAAGAGCUGCUACAAGGGACGGUUCCAGCUUCUCUACGUGGCUUGUGGGAUGGUCCAUCUUCUCAGCCCUGAGCUCGGUGCCUGCGUGGCCCCCGGAGGACGCCUCAUUGUAGAAUUAGCCCAGUUCCUAGUGGACCUGCGGCAGGAGCAGCUGCAGGGCUUCUCCACCCGGGUCGGGGAGCUAGCACAGGCGGCUGGAUUCGCCCCACAGCCGGGGGCCAGGCGCUCGCAGACCUUCGCGCGCUUCUACAAGGCCGGAGACUCUGCUCCCAGCCACAAGGACCCAGCUGUGGGAUCUGGGACUCCGCCCCCUGAAGUCCUGGCCCCGCCCCUUGAGUGUCCUCAGUGAGGCUUGAGCAGACCGGACGAGACAGAAGCCCCAGGGGCCUUCAAGGUCACUCCGGACGCCCCCUCACUGACCCUCCAAGAGCCCCUUGUCCCCUGCUCUGCCUUCCGCAACCCCUGGCUUGAGACUCAGCAUGGCGGACCGGAGCGGCGAUGCGGCGGAGGACCCGCCUCCCGCGCCACCCCCUGUACGACGCCGCUCCUCAGCCAACUACCGCGCCUACGCCACGGAGCCGCACGCCAAGAAAAAGUCUAAGAUCUCCGCCUCGAGAAAACUGCAGCUGAAGACCCUGAUGCUGCAGAUUGCGAAACAGGAGCUGGAGCGGGAAGCAGAGGAGCGGCGAGGAGAGAAGGGGCGCGUUCUGAGCACGCGGUGCCAGCCUCUGGAGCUGGCCGGGCUGGGCUUCGCGGAUCUGCAGGACUUGUGCCGACAGCUCCACGCCCGUGUGGACAAGGUGGAUGAGGAGAGAUACGACGUGGAGGUGAAAGUCACUAAGAACAUCACAGAGAUCGCAGAUCUGACCCAGAAGAUCUUUGACCUUCGGGGCAAGUUUAAGCGGCCCACUCUGCGUAGAGUGCGCAUCUCUGCGGAUGCCAUGAUGCAGGCACUGCUGGGGACCAGGGCUAAGGAGUCCUUAGACCUGCGGGCCCACCUCAAGCAGGUGAAGAAGGAGGACACGGAGAAGGAAAACCGGGAGGUAGGAGACUGGCGCAAGAACAUCGAUGCGCUCAGUGGAAUGGAAGGCCGCAAGAAAAAGUUUGAGGGCUGAGCCGGCCUGUGCACAGCCCUGGCCCUGGCCCUGAGGAUGGCCCCGAGGAAUAAAGCUUCUCUCUGAGCUG